UUCCGGUUGAUCCUGCCGGUAGUCAUAUGCUUGUCUCAAAGACUAAGCCAUGCAUGUCUAAGUAUAAAUAACUCCACAGUGAAACUGCAAAUGGCUCAUUAAAACAGUUAUAGUUUAUUUGAUAUAUUAAAUGGAUAACUGUAGAAAAACUAGAGCUAAUACAUGCCUAAACCGCAAGGUUGUAUUUAUUAGAUAUUCCUAUAAGGUGAAUCAUAAUAACUUCGCAAAUCUCGGAAUUCCGAGAUAAAUCAUUCAAGUUUCUGCCCUAUCAUGCUUUCGAUGGUAGUGUAUUGGACUACCAUGGCUUUCACGGGUAACAGGGAAUUAGGGUUCGAUUCUGGAGAAGGAGCCUGAGAAACGGCUACUACAUCUACGGAAGGCAGCAGGCGCGUAAAUUACCCAAUCCUGACUCAGGGAGGUGGUGACAAGAUAUAACAACGCGAGUAAUAUCGCGAUUGUAGUGAGGGUAUUCUAAACCGAACCACUAGUACGAUUAGAGGGCAAGUCUGGUGCCAGCAGCCGCGGUAAUUCCAGCUCUAAUAGCGUAUAUUAAAGUUGUUGCAGUUAAAAAGCUCGUAGUUGGAUUUCAAGAUCGUUCUGCCUUUCGGGGUAGACUGUCUACUAGUCAUUUGACUGUUACUGUG
rnacentral:rRNA from 1 species